rnacentral:rRNA from 1 species
GACGAACGCUGGCGGCGUGCCUAAUACAUGCAAGUAGAACGCUGAAGGAGGAGCUUGCUCUUCUGGAUGAGUUGCGAACGGGUGAGUAACGCGUAGGUAACCUGCCUGGUAGCGGGGGAUAACUAUUGGAAACGAUAACUAAUACCGCAUAACAGUAGAUGUUGCAUGACAUUUGCUUAAAAGGUGCAAUUGCACCACUACCAGAUGGACCUGCGUUGUAUUAGCUAGUUGGUGGGGUAACGGCUCACCAAGGCGACGAUACAUAGCCGACCUGAGAGGGUGAUCGGCCACACUGGGACUGAGACACGGCCCAGACUCCUACGGGAGGCAGCAGUAGGGAAUCUUCGGCAAUGGACGGAAGUCUGACCGAGCAACGCCGCGUGAGUGAAGAAGGUUUUCGGAUCGUAAAGCUCUGUUGUAAGAGAAGAACGAGUGUGAGAGUGGAAAGUUCACACUGUGACGGUAUCUUACCAGAAAGGGACGGCUAACUACGUG